rnacentral:rRNA from 1 species
UACGUAGGGACCGAGCGUUGUCCGGAAUCAUUGGGCGUAAAGAGCGUGUAGGCGGCUCGAUAAGUCCGCUCUGAAAGCCCGGGGCUCAACCCCGGGAGGCGGGCGGAAACUGUCGGGCUAGAGUCCGGAAGAGGCGAGUGGAAUUCCCGGUGUAGCGGUGAAAUGCGCAGAUAUCGGGAGGAACACCAAUGGCGAAGGCAGCUCGCUGGGACGUGACUGACGCUGAGACGCGAAAGCGUGGGGAGCAAACAGG